rfam:Schistosoma mattheei strain Denwood, Zambia genome assembly, scaffold: SMTD_scaffold0020959
AUCCAGCUGACGAGUCCCAAGUACCACGAAACGCGCGUCCUAGAU